rnacentral:rRNA from 1 species
AACGAACGUUGGCGGCGCGCCUAACACAUGCAAGUCGCACGAGAAAGGGAGCAAUCCCCGGUACAGUGGCGCACGGGUGAGUAACACGUGGAUAAUCUUCCCUCGGGCGGGGGAUAACCUUCCGAAAGGAGGGCUAAUACCGCAUAAGACCACGGCCAGUACGCUGGCUGAGGGUCAAAAGCAGGCCUCUUCAUGAAAGCUUGCACCUGAGGAUGAGUCCGCGGCCCAUCAGCUAGUUGGUAGUGUUAAAGACUACCAAGGCUAAGACGGGUAGCUGGUCUGAGAGGAUGAUCAGCCACACUGGAACUGAGACACGGUCCAGACUCCUAACGGGAGGCAGCAGUGGGGAAUCUUGCGCAAUGGACGAAAGUCUGAC